GCAACCUGUGAAGAGAAAUAUUUAAGCUAAUGUGUUCCAUCGUGCUGGUGAGCACUUUCAAAGGAGUGCAUGAAAGAUAUCACAGCCUCACAAAUGCAGAGAAAAGCCUCCCUUGGCCACUGCUGAUCAGGAAGUGAGACUUUGUCCUCCCCACAGUGGCUAUACCUAGCCGGCUGGAUUAUCUUCCUCAUGGCCAAAAGGAGACUAGACAUGGAAGGCAAAUUGCAGUUAGAUGAAUUUAACCAGCUUUCUCUACACCGCAUGAAGCCAGCGACUGUGAGGGCUCUGCUACGCGGCUGAGCGGGCUGUGCAGGCAUUGCCAAGGUCUCCUCCCUUGUUGACGUUCCCUGCUCGUCUUCACGUGAUCCCAUCUCAGGGCUCUGCCGUCCACGCCCUCACCAAGCUGGAUCCUGGAAGUCAUGCAAUUCCUUCUUCCUUACUUCUGUAAACCAAAAAGUGUCUGAGACAGAUCUCAGUCAACUUAGAGGUUUAUUUUGCUGAGGUUGAGGAAACACUCAGGAAAAAAGAAACACGAGUUACAAUAGGAUUUGUGUUCUCUGCUUUUUUCCAAGGAGAGUUUUGAGGACUUCAAUAUGUAAAGGGGGAAGAGUGGGCAGGAGGAGAAGGA
rnacentral:lncRNA from 10 species